rnacentral:rRNA from 1 species
UACGUAGGGGGCGAGCGUUAUCCGGAAUUAUUGGGCGUAAAGGGUGCGUAGGCGGCCUUGUGUGUCAGGUGUGAAAGGCUACGGCUCAACCGUAGUUAGCACUUGAAACUGCAGGGCUUGAGUGCAGGAGAGGAGAGUGGAAUUCCUAGUGUAGCGGUGAAAUGCGUAGAUAUUAGGAGGAACACCAGUGGCGAAGGCGACUCUCUGGACUGUAACUGACGCUGAGGCACGAAAGCGUGGGGAGCGAACAGG